rnacentral:rRNA from 1 species
AUGAACGCUAGCUACAGGCUUAACACAUGCAAGUCGAGGGGCAGCAUGGUCUUAGCUUGCUAAGACUGAUGGCGACCGGCGCACGGGUGAGUAACACGUAUCCAACCUGCCGUCUACUCUUGGACAGCCUUCUGAAAGGAAGAUUAAUACAAGAUGGCAUCAUGAGUCCGCAUGUUCACAUGAUUAAAGGUAUUCCGGUAGACGAUGGGGAUGCGUUCCAUUAGAUAGUAGGCGGGGUAACGGCCCACCUAGUCUUCGAUGGAUAGGGGUUCUGAGAGGAAGGUCCCCCACAUUGGAACUGAGACACGGUCCAAACUCCUACGGGAGGCAGCAGUGAGGAAUAUUGGUCAAUGGGCGAGAGCCUGAACCAGCCAAGUAGCGUGAAGGAUGACUGCCCUAUGGGUUGUAAACUUCUUUUAUAAAGGAAUAAAGUCGGGUAUGCAUACCCGUUUGCAUGUACUUUAUGAAUAAGGAUCGGCUAACUCCGUGCCAGCAGCCGCGGUAAUACGGAGGAUCCGAGCGUUAUCCGGAUUUAUUGGGUUUAAAGGGAGCGUAGAUGGAUGUUUAAGUCAGUUGUGAAAGUUUGCGGCUCAACCGUAAAAUUGCAGUUGAUACUGGAUAUCUUGAGUGCAGUUGAGGCAGGCGGAAUUCGUGGUGUAGCGGUGAAAUGCUUAGAUAUCACGAAGAACUCCGAUUGCGAAGGCAGCCUGCUAAGCUGCAACUGACAUUGAGGCUCGAAAGUGUGGGUAUCAAACAGGAUUAGAUACCCUGGUAGUCCACACGGUAAACGAUGAAUACUCGCUGUUUGCGAUAUACAGCAAGCGGCCAAGCGAAAGCGUUAAGUAUUCCACCUGGGGAGUACGCCGGCAACGGUGAAACUCAAAGGAAUUGACGGGGGCCCGCACAAGCGGAGGAACAUGUGGUUUAAUUCGAUGAUACGCGAGGAACCUUACCCGGGCUUGAAUUGCAACUGAAUGAUGUGGAGACAUGUCAGCCGCAAGGCAGUUGUGAAGGUUCUGCAUGGUUGUCGUCAGCUCGUGCCGUGAGGUGUCGGCUUAAGUGCCAUAACGAGCGCAACCCUUGUUGUCAGUUACUAACAGGUUCCGCUGAGGACUCUGACAAGACUGCCAUCGUAAGAUGUGAGGAAGGUGGGGAUGACGUCAAAUCAGCACGGCCCUUACGUCCGGGGCUACACACGUGUUACAAUGGGGGGUACAGAGGGCCGCUACCACGCGAGUGGAUGCCAAUCCCAAAAACCUCUCUCAGUUCGGACUGGAGUCUGCAACCCGACUCCACGAAGCUGGAUUCGCUAGUAAUCGCGCAUCAGCCACGGCGCGGUGAAUACGUUCCCGGGCCUUGUACACACCGCCCGUCAAGCCAUGGGAGCCGGGGGUACCUGAAGUGCGUAACCGCGAGGAGCGCCCUAGGGUAAAACUGGUGACUGGGGCU